UAUAUAGAGAGAGAGAGAGAGAGAGAGUAGAGCUAGAAUACUUGUAAAAGUAUCAUCCAAGUGAUACUUGUGUGUUUUUAGCCCUUGGAUGGAGAGAUGUGAGAUUGAGAUGAUGGUGGUAGGUGGUGGUAGGUGGUGGUAGGUGUAAUAGUGUUUGAUCCAAGGACUAUUAGUAAUCAAAAAGUAGAUCCAAUGGCUAAAAACACACAAGUAUCACUUGGGUGAUACUUGUAAAAGUAUUCUAGCCCUACUCUAUAUAUAUAUAUAUAUAUAUAUAUAUAUAU
rnacentral:lncRNA from 1 species